GUAGGGAAUAUUGGACAAUGGGGGCAACCCUGAUCCAGCGACGCCGCGUGAGUGAUGAAGGCCUUCGGGUCGUAAAGCUCUGUUGCAGGGGAAGAACACAAUGACGGUACCCUGCUAGAAAGGAUCGGCUAACUUCGUGCCAGCAGCCGCGGUAAGACGAGGGAUCCUAGCGUUGUUCGGAAUUCUUGGGCGUAAAGCGGGUGCAGGUGGCUUGGUAAGUCAGAUGUGAAAGCCUGGGGCUUAACCCCAGAAGUGCAUUUGAUACUGCUGAGCUUGAGUGCUGGAGAGGCUAUUAGAAUUCCUGGUGUAGUGGUGAAAUACGUAGAUAUCAGGAGGAAUACCGGAGGCGAAGGCGGAUAGCUGGCCAGACACUGACACUCAGACCCGAAAGCGUGGGGAUCAAACAGGAUUAGAAACCCUAGUAGUCC
rnacentral:rRNA from 1 species